rnacentral:tRNA from 1 species
GUGGGGAUAGGUGAGGUUGUUUUUGGG